GCGCACGUGGUGAAAUUGGUAGACACGCCACUUUGAGGGGGUGGUGCCCGUUUGGGUAUGGAAGUUCGACUCUUCUCGUGCGCACAA
rnacentral:tRNA from 1 species